GAGACAACAGGGCUCCUAGCAUUUUGUGAUGAAGGGAAUCAUCAUGCAUGUGAGAACUGUUCCCAGAGGCAUUCCUCUCAUCUUGGAACUAAAGCUGUUCCCUAACUCUACACAUACUCUGCCAACAUCCAACACAGGUAGAGAGGCCCAGAUCACAUCAAUCCUACCCCAAACACAGCUUCAGCAGCCUCUGAACCAGGUAUAACAGAUAACCUAGCACCAGCACCUUAAGCCUCCACCAACCCAGCACCUCCAAGGCCUGCUGAGCCUAGGUCAGGAGUCAUCCUGCCCAUCUACCACCAGCCAAGUACACACUUCCACCAAAACUCAAAGGCACACUGCAGAAAAGCCUCAUUAAUUUUUCACAAGAUUUAUCUAAUAGUGGCUGAGCAGAGCUGAGAAAGCCACAUUCAAGUGCCUGUGCCAACAGCUUGCAAAGAGUUAACCCAUUAGGCCACAUCCUGGUGAGCUCAUCCCUGCCGCUGGAGCCUGCUCAGUGGCUAGGAUUUGCAGCACACUGACUCUGGAUGUGGCCAGGGUGGCUUUCUCCAGCUGGGAUGCAGGACUUGAGCAGAAAUUCAUUGCCACCUUCUUCCCUGCGCGAGUGCCGACUGAGUCCCAGGUUCCCCGUCUUCCCCCGGGACACUGUGCACAGUGUGGCCGGCACCCUGGGCAGGUGCCAGGGAAACAAGGUUGAGUACCCUGGCUUGGGCAGUCUUCAUUUCAGAAAGGAGGGAACAAGACAGGUACAUAAAAACCCAGACAAAGACAUGGCUCGCUCAGGCAGAGGAGGGACAUGGGGACUCUGCCCCUCAGUAAAGCCAAAUGUAAUCACACUUAUCCCCUGAGCUGUUUUCCACCCUAUAGCCCCACAGGGCCCAUGCAUCAGUUGUGUGGCCUGAAGAGGAAGGUGAGUAGCACCCUCCAGAUAGCUCUGACCUUAGAGAAGAAAGUCCCCUUCCUGAGAGUGCUGUGAGCUGGGGACAGAUGGUGGUGGCGAGGCCAUGUUGACAGCAGCAACAUAUUCCACACUCUCCAGUCUCUACACUAUCGGGCCAGGCACAGGGCCACACACACCUUAUCAGGGGAGUAGACAUCACCAAACGAACUCCUGGGAGUGGGGCAGUACAGCAAGAGGAGAUAAAGCCCCUGGGGAUGGGCGUCAAACAGUUGGAGCUGAGCAGGGUGAUGGCAGAAAUUCAGGGAGAGACAGAGAUCUACUUCCCACCCACACUGGGUCAGGGAUAUGAAACCAUGGCCAUUCCACUAUGCAAAGCCUGUGCAAAGCCUUCUGCUCUCGCUACCAGUCUACUGGCCGGGCCAGCCUCCCUACUCUGAGGUCAUCUGUGCCCUCUCCUCUCUUCCAUGUCACCAGGUCCUUGCAAUUCCCAGAAUAGCCCAGUUCCUAUCAGAGCUCUGUAGGUGGAAGGGUCUGGGGAGGAGGGACAGAGGAGUCAGAUAACUCCAGGCCUGGAUGAAGCAACACAGUGGGGCCUCUUUUAGCAUUAAGGUAGCUAAAUGUGUUAUGCAUGGGGCACCCAGUUCCGCUCGAAUUUUCAGUAAAUAAUGGAUGCAUUUGGGGUAUGUGAUAUCCAAAUCAGCAUUAGAUCUUUUAAUGCUAAAAAGUAGCUAUCGUUGAUUGGAAAUCAAAUUCAGCUAACCACUUUGUCCUUGCAUUUACUAGAUGGCUAUGAGAACCCCAUUUAUACCGAUCCCACAUUUCAGCUCAUUCAGAUGAAAGCAGUGGCACCAUGAGACAGCUGGGGAGUGAAUUCCAAGCAAAGGCAGGCAGCUUCAGAGAGAAAGGGCUCUAGAAAAGAAGAUGGUGAAGAAGAAAAAGUCAAGUCCCAUCCCCUAGAAAGAAUAUAACAUACCAGAAUUUGAGGUCAAGCAUCUGGAAGCCUCAGUUUCUUAAUCUGUAAAAUGGGAAUGAUGUUAACUGUACCCCCCCUCAACCAGUGCUAUGAGGAUUAGGAGACUCUCCAGGUAAAAAAAGCACCAGAUGCCAGACACUGUAUCCUCCAUGGUGAUGGCGGUGACUUUGUGGCCACUCUGCCACAGGCCUCUUACUGCCCCACUGGCCCCAGCUCAGGACGUACCAUCUCAUCCCAUGGCUCCUCAGCUCCUCACAGUCCCCCCUCCCACUCCUCACCCAAACGCCCACCAAGGCAAUUCUGUUCAUUGACUGUGCUCCAAUUAACAUGUCCCCCCUUCUCACUAUUUCUCACUAUUCCCUCGAUUUGAAAAUGAAAAAUAAAAGUGCUACCCAGAGAGUAGCA
rnacentral:lncRNA from 1 species